rnacentral:lncRNA from 1 species
CACUUAACUUUCUUAUCUUGCCUCCUCCCAUCAGGGCAUUUUAAAAAACAAAACGCCAAACACCCUGUUACUGGAUAUCCUGCAGUUGAGAUUGUCAGAUUUUGCAAAUGAAAACACAGAACACGGACAGUUAGAUUUGAAUUUCAGAUAAACAAUGACCGUCCCAUGCAAAUCUGGGACAUGCUUAUACUAAAAAAUGAUUCGUUAUGUAUCUGACAUUCAAAUCUAACCGUGCCCUGUAUUUUGUCUGGCAGCCGUACCUUCUGGGUGCUGAGCGGCUCGGAUGCUGGAGGCUCAGGGAUGCUGGAGGGACCCAUUCUGCUUAGCCCUGGAGGGACUGGUUCUGCUCACACCACUCCUGGUACUGAGCGCUUCUUCUCCGUGGCCACGAACCUCUCCAACCUGCCAGGACACACACGCCGGUCCCAUCCAUGUCCUGGCUGCGGUGACCUUCACCAAGCGCCCCCAAGCCCUGGAUGCUGUGCUGUGGGGGGACACAGAGUCUGGAAGACCCCGAGCAUUGAGGCCCACUUGUAACUAAAAUCCCGAAUCCCGCUCGGCAGUGCUGCGGCACCUGCUGCAACGACCUCCCUGGGUGGGGGUGGCAGGCCCUGGUCUGUGACCUGUGACCUAGGGGAGUUCUCAGCCUCACUGGGCCGCAGAGCCACCAUCCACCAUCUUGUCCUAAACCACGUACUUUGGGAACUCAGCGCUUCUGCAGGCACCACCCCAGGGACUUCCUCCUGCCAGGCCCCUGCUGGCCCCCUGGGGUUUGGGGGCCUCCAGUGCCCCUCCACACCACCAGCCAGGCACACAGGGACUUUCGAUCUCUCUGUGAGUUUUCUCCGAGCUGGGCGGCCCGGAGCAGCUGGGUGCGUGCUGGGGAGGGCACAGGAGGGACACUGCACAGGCUUCAGCCAGGCCCCACUUCUGUCCACCCCUCGACUUUACCAGUAGCCCAGGGCGCCCCCCACAGACCCCAGAGUCAUGGCCUCUGGGGAGAGAGGUCGUCAGCUUUGAGCUUGACCCUCGGCAGAAGUCUCAUAGGACAACUGCUCAGGCCAGGAGGUGGCCGCAGGAAACGCCUGGCUUGUGACCCAGUGAACUCAGACGCUGCGGUCCCCAACACACAGUCCUUCCUCGCGCAUGAAGGGUGUGUCCCCAAUGGGACCUCCCUCACGGGGGCCGCCAGCCUGGCCCGCAGAGACUCAGGCUCAUGCAGGCGAGGUCUGCCCCACUCGCCAGCUCAGCGGGUCUGUUUCAAAGCUUGGGAGGUUCUGCUCUGUGACCCUGGGAACCUCAGCCUGCCUGGCCUCCUCGCCCUGGCCUGGAUGCAUCCCCUUCGUCCCCCGAUGGCAAGUUACAAGGGGGGGGGAGCUGCUCUUGGCCUCGGGCCAGCCUGGCUUCCGAGUACCUCCCCCUAGGCUGGAUCUAGUCCCUGUGGGCUGGGAGUCAGAGCAGACCUGGCCUCCAUCAGCUUCCUGCUCCCUCGGAGAAGCUGCUCACCCUCCCGAGCUCUGGUUUUCUCCAGCUGCGUGGUGGAAAGGAUGCUCCCGGGCAGCGACUAAGGGAUGAGAUGCCCGAGAGUGUGCGGAAGCUCACAGCACAGUCCCGGCACAGCUCUCUCACGCCAGGAGAGUGGAGACGCUGCAUGAAGCCAGCUCAGCUGCUUUUCCCUCACUUCUCCAUCCAGACACGUCUUCAGUGCCCUCUACUCCAGCCUUCUGAAGGCCAGGCAAGGACUGAGCGGAGAAGAGCC